rnacentral:rRNA from 1 species
UACGGAGGGAGCUAGCGUUGUUCGGAAUUACUGGGCGUAAAGCGCGCGAAGGCGGCGAACCAAGUCAGGGGUGAAAUCCCGGGGCUCAACCCCGGAACUGCCCUUGAAACUAGUUUGCUAGAAUCCUGGAGAGGCGAGUGGAAUUCCGAGAGUAGAGGUGAAAUUCGUAGAUAUUCGGAAGAACACCAGUGGCGAAGGCGACUCGCUGGACAGGUAUUGACGCUGAGGUGCGAAAGCGUGGGGAGCAAACAGG